UGAGGCGUGAGGGCAUUUUGUCUCUCUACCUCACAGAAACACCAGUGCAGAUGCGGACAGCAGCACUGACUCCCACCGACAGUGGGCCCUAGCUCCAAGACAGCGGGGCAAGGUGACAUGUCCAGAGGUCCUUUCAAGCACGGAUCGCGGAGCCCAGUGGUCAAUACCCUUACUUUUAUCCAGUGUCUGCUUCAUUUAAACUUAAUCAACUCCAUCAAUGAACUGGAACAGGGAAACGUCCCUGCGUUGGGACUGUUCCGUCUUCUUGUUCCCAUGCCCUGCCUGGGCGAGGGUCCUGUCGAACUCUCAAGCCUUACCCCGAGUAGAGGCAGCUUCACCCAGGAGGCUCUGAACCCCAAGGAGAAUCAAGAAGCCAACCCAGGCUACUCAAGUUUUCGGAAACCCUAGGUCACCGUCACCUGCAGCACAGUCUUGCCGUUUCAGAAUCGCAGGAUUCGUACACACGCCCAUCCAUAGCAGAGAAGGGAGUGCUGGUGACACAGGGCAAGGAUGGAAAAUUUUACCUCAUGUUCAAGGUGAAAAUUACCUUCUGGGGUGAUGCGUGCUGUCUCCUCUGCAGAGGCCCAUUGCCACCAAGCAGUCUCAGGGCGUGCUUCCUGCAGGGAAGAUGAACCCUGUCUAGCAGAGGCCACUAAAGCACCUGAGUGUAAGCGUGUGCACUCGUCAGGACUGUGAACACAAAACCCCUGCCACUCCAGAAAGAAUUCUAACUCAGACAUUUGCAGACAGAUGCCCAGCUUAGCUUCUAAUGUGAGGAAAAACACGGAAUGACAAGUGUGGGAAAGAGCAAGCACUAAAUUACUGUCAGAAAAAUAAACGGAGUAGCACAGUGGCGCUCAGUGAUUUACGGGGGCAAUUAGUCCCCACCCCACAGCGCUGCGGAGGACAGCCUGGCGGCGGCCGGUGUGAGGAAGAGGAGGCCAUGCUGCUUUCCAGACAACUUACCAGACCACCAGGCGGGUUCCUGGAGUCUGCUAAGUUCCACCUGGGUGCCCACCCUUCCCCUGAUUGUACCAACUUAGGGCAGAAACAUAUUUUGAGCACCAGGUGAGGCUGCUGGGUAUGUGCUAAAAACCUUCUGAUUGCAGCUUCAUUUCCUCUUCUUUGUCCAGAAUGGAUAUGGACCCAUCUCUUAAGAAACAAAACAGUGUGACACCUCCUGCCCUCCCUAUCCAGUUGUCCUCCUACCCCCAGUGUGUGCCAUAGCUCUGUCGCAUUAGCUACUGCCUCUUGUUACACUGUUCUCCCUGUCUACAAUUGUGUUUCUCUGUGGGUGCUGAAGAAUAUGGCCUGCAGCUUCUCCUGGCAAGAUUGGUGAGCUGGCGCUCCUUGGGCAUGUGCCAGGAUGGAAGACACAGAGGAAGUUGAAAGGAUAAUCUUCGUUGCUGGUGCUCACUUAGCAACAAGAUCUUUAGCACAGUCUCUUGCAUAGUCACAAGGAGAUCUCUAACAUGGGGCAUCCAUGACUGUGCAGCUGAGCAACAUAGGCUUGCCAGGGUAUGAGUUGUGAGGACAUGAUACAAUGCACAGUCCUUAAUCCAUAUCCACCAUCAGAAGCAACCUGGAUUGGAAGAUGAGGAAGGCA